AUCCGUCGGAGCACCCUUAGCAGGUGUGACGGCGUGCCUUUUGAAGAAUGAGCCUGCGAGUUAGUGAUGCGUGGCGAGGUUAACCCGUGGUGGGGGAGUCGUAGCGAAAGCGAGUCCGAUAAGGGCGUGAGUCGCGUGUUCUAGACCCGAAGCGGUGUGAUCUAUCCAUGGCCAGGAUGAAGCGUCGGUAAGACGUCGUGGAGGUCCGAACCCACUUCAGUUAAAAAUGGAGGGGAUGAGUUGUGGAUAGGGGUGAAAGGCCAAUCAAACACCGUGAUAGCUGGUUCUCCCCGAAAUGCAUUUAGGUGCAGCGUCACGUGUUUCUUCCCGGAGGUAGAGCUACUGGAUGGACGAUGGGCCCUACAAGGUUAC
rnacentral:rRNA from 1 species